rnacentral:lncRNA from 1 species
AACUGAACACCUGUGCCACCCACUGGUCAAAGAUAGUUACUGCAUCUGGAGUAGAAAUCAGUUCCACACAGCCAAUGAAGACCUGCCUGACAGCAAUCCCUGGACACCCUGGAAAG